UACGGGGGGAGCAAGCGUUGUUCGGAUUUACUGGGCGUAAAGGGCGCGUAGGCGGCCAGCACAAGUCGGUUGUGAAAUCUCCGGGCUUAACCCAGAAAGGUCAACUGAUACUGCGGGGCUAGAGUGCAGAAGGGGCAACUGGAAUUCUCGGUGUAGCGGUGAAAUGCGUAGAUAUCGAGAGGAACACCUGCGGCGAAGGCGGGUUGCUGGGCUGACACUGACGCUGAAGUGCGAAAGCUAGGGGAGCGAACGGG
rnacentral:rRNA from 1 species